rnacentral:rRNA from 1 species
UACAGAGGUCUCAAGCGUUGUUCGGAUUCAUUGGGCGUAAAGGGUGCGUAGGCGGCGCGGUAAGUCGGGUGUGAAAUCUUGGAGCUUAACUCCGAAACUGCAUUCGAUACUGCCGUGCUUGAGGACUGGAGAGGAGACUGGAAUUUACGGUGUAGCGGUGAAAUGCGUAGAGAUCGUGAGGAAGACCAGUGGCGAAGGCGGGUCUCUGGACAGUUCCUGACACUGAGGCACGAAGGCCAGGGGAGCAAACGGG